GUGAGGAAUUUUGCGCAAUGGUGGCAACCCUGACGCAGCGACGCCGCGUGGAGGACGAAGUCUUUCGGGAUGUAAACUCCUGUCAGUGGGGACGAUAAUGACGGUACCCACAGAGGAAGCACCGGCUAACUCCGUGCCAGCAGCCGCGGUAAGACGGAGGGUGCAAGCGUUGUUCGGAAUUACUGGGCGUAAAGCGUAUGUAGGCGGCAAGUUAAGUUCAAUGUUAAAGCCCACGGCUCAACCGAGGAGAUGCAUUGAAUACUGGCUAGCUAGAGGGUGUUAGAGGAAGACGGAAUUCCCAGUGUAGCGGUGAAAUGCGUAGAUAUUGGGAGGAACAUCGGUAGCGAAAGCGGUCUUCUGGGACAUACCUGACGCUGAGGUACGAAAGCGUGGGGAGCAAACGGGAUUAGAAACCCUGGUAGUCC
rnacentral:rRNA from 1 species